UACGAAGGGGGCUAGCGUUGUUCGGAAUUACUGGGCGUAAAGCGUGCGCAGGCGGUUCGUUAAGUCAGCUGUGAAAGCCCCGGGCUCAACCUGGGAAUUGCGGUUGAAACUGGCGGACUAGAAUCUGGCAGAGGGGGGUGGAAUUCCACGUGUAGCAGUGAAAUGCGUAGAGAUGUGGAGGAACACCGAUGGCGAAGGCAGCCCCCUGGGCUGAGAUUGACGCUCAGGCACGAAAGCGUGGGGAGCAAACAGG
rnacentral:rRNA from 1 species